AAAACAAUCGAUAAACGAUAGAUACGCCUCCCCACAUCGAUGACAGUCUUGUUAUUGUAAUUGUGAAGCAAAAUCGUAAAUAUUAGCAAAUGAACCACUUCUACGCCCCUCGAACGUGUUGAGUUGCGAGGCAGACAAGCACCGCAGAGCAUUUAAGUCCUCCUGGUUCCAGUCCGCCGACCAGGAGCUGCGAGGCCACCCAAAAACGCGUGCGAACUCCAGGAGAAGCGAUCGGUGCCAUGUCAGCUCAACUGGCCAGAAACUGGCCGUACAUCUGGCAGCAGCUGAACGCCCUGCUGCACAACACCUCGCCGGUCAUCACCCUCAUCUGCGUGGUGACCACUUUCGGCUACCUGUUGUCCUUCUCGGAGACGGCCAUCCUGCUGCUCAGCGUCACACCCGGAUACAUCCUGCCCAACGGCAAGUUUUGGAUAUGGACCGCCUUCACGUUCUGCUUCAUCGAGCUGCACUGGUGGGAGGUGGCCGUCGACGUAGUCACCGUGGGCCUGUGCGGCAAGAUGCUGGAGCCCCUCUGGGGUCAGCUGGAGAUGUUCAAGUUCUUCGCCCUGAGCAACUUCGGCGUCUCGCUGCUGACCACUGUCUACUACCUGUUUUACUACAUGGUCACCAAAAACCCAACCAUUCUCUUCGAGGUCCACAUCCACGGCCUGGCCGGAUACGUGGCCGGCAUCUGCGUAGCCGUGCGCCAGAUAAUGCCCGAUCACCUGAUCUUCAAGACGCGCUACGGACGUUUGACCAAUAGGAACGUUCCCCUCACUGUCCUCAUCAUGGCCAUCAUCUUGUGGGCCAUAGGGCUACUAGAUGGCACUUAUCCGGCUAUGUUUGCCUCCGGAUCGCUGGUAUCCUGGAUUUAUCUUCGCUUUUACCAACACCAUCCCAAUGGGCGUGGCGACAGCUCGGAGAGCUUCACUUUCGUCAGCUUCUUCCCAAACGUAACGCAGCCCUUUAUAAGCGCAUUGGUUAAUCCCAUUUACAACUGCUGUUUGCGAGCGGGCGUGGUCAAGACGCCCACGCCGCUGCGGACGAUAUCUACGGCCAGCCUGACGUCGGUAUCGGUGCAAAUGCCGGGAGUGGAUCCGCAUGACAUUGAAAGAAGGCGACAAAUUGCCUUAAAGGCGCUAAGUGAGCGCCUAAAGGCCACGGACUCCAGCCGCCACGCCCAGCUGCCCAAAUCGUUCCCGCAGCAGCAGCAGAUGCAACAUCAUCACCAGCAUGCGCCGCACCAGCAGCAAAAGCAUCACAGUCACGGCGGUGGGCACAGUCACAGCCAUGGAGCGGGUCAUAGUCAUAGCCAUAGGGCGGGACACAGUCAUGGCCCCGGUCCCGCUCAGAUGCCGCAGCCCGACUUCCUAAAGCCCACCAGCAGCUCCAGCCAGCUGCCCAUUACAACGUCGCGGGCGGAGCCGCGCAUGAUCAGCACCAUGAGCCCGAUCGCAAUACCAAUGCCGGCGCCACCGCCCAAGGAAGGGAAUAUUCCGGGUCAAGGUGCUGAAUCCUCAACCGGAGGCGAGGCGACACUUAUCAACCUGGACGAUGUACCAACCACGUCUUCGAUGGCCUAGACAGUGAUUCUGUGCAAACAUUAAUGAAUUUUUGAUAUUUAAACGAAUGAUCUAAUGAUUUACGCCCAUGUUUUGUAUGAUUCUACAUCAAGUACUGUCCUGUAGACUUACGCUUGCUUGCUGCGCACACCGCCGGCCAUGCUACUAGGAGCAGUGAAGUAAUAUGAGAUCAGCAUAAACAAAUACCUUCCAGGCAAUAUGAUAAUACUAGAGCCUUUACAUAGAUGCAUACUUUCUGUUGUAGUCCUUACAUGUAAUUGAAAAUGAUGCUUUAUUUAGUUAAUAACUGUAAAUAUAUUUA
rnacentral:misc_RNA from 1 species